rnacentral:rRNA from 1 species
CGAUUCCGGAGAGGGAGCCUGAGAAACGGCUACCACUUCCAAGGAAGGCAGCAGGCGCGCAAAUUACCCAAUCCCGACACGGGGAGGUAGUGACAAGAAAUACCAUUGUAAUGUCUCCUCGAGAGGCUUACGAUUGGAAUGAGUACAAUUUAAAUCCCUUAACGAGUAACGAUUGGAGGGCAAGUCUGGUGCCAGCAGCCGCGGUAAUUCCAGCUCCAAUAGCGUAUAUUAAAGUUGUUGCAGUUAAAAAGCUCGUAGUUGGAUUUCGGAAGGUCUUUAGUGGUCCGCCCCUUCGGGGAGCGGGUCACUGGCCUCCUAUGUUCCUAACGGUCCUCAUCCGCGAGGGUGGGGAAUCAACCGCUAGGAUCGUUUACUUUGAGGAAAUUAGAGUGUUCAAAGCAGGCGUAACUCGCCUCCGAAUACGUUAGCAUGGGAUAAUGGAAUACGACUUCGGUCUUGUUUCGUUGGUUUCGCUUGGCUGAAGUAAUGAUUGGUAGGGACAGUGGGGGCAUUAGUAUUUAGUUGUCAGAGGUGAAAUUCUAGGAUUUACUAAAGACUGACCAAUGCGAAAGCAUUUGCCAAGGAUGUUUUCAUUAAUCAAGAACGAAAGUAGGGGGAUCGAAGACGAUCAGAUACCGUCGUAGUCUCUACCGUAAACUAUGCCGACCAGGGAUCCGGAGAGUUUGCAUGGAUGACUCCCCGGGCACCUUGUGAGAAAUCAUAAGUGUUUGGGUUUUGGGGGGAGUAUGGUCGCAAGGCUGAAACUUAAAGGAAUUGACGGAAGGGCACCACCAGGAGUGGAACCUGCGGCUUAAUUUGACCCAACACGGGGAAACUUACGAGGUCAGGACACUGUGAGGAUUGACAGAUUGAAAGCUCUUUCUUGAUUCAGUGGGUGGUGGUGCAUGGCCGUUCUUAGUUGGUGGAGUGAUUUGUCUGGUUAAUUCCGUUAACGAACGAGACCUUAACCUGCUAAUAGUCACGCGAACCGGUCCGCAAGGGCUCAAAGUUCGCGGCUCGACUUCUUAGAGGGACUAUUCGCACCCGCCAGCGAAUGGAAGUUUGAGGCAAUAACAGGUCUGUGAUGCCCUUAGAUGUUCUCGGCCGCACGCGCGUUACACUGACGGAGUCAACGAGCGUUUUUCCUUGCCCGACAGGGCUGGGUAACCUCCUGAAACUCCGUCGUGAUGGGGAUAGAUCAUUGCAAUUAUUGAUCUUGAACGAGGAAUUCCUAGUAAGCGCGAGUCAUCAACUCGCGCUGAUUACGUCCCUGCCCUUUGUACACACCGCCCGUCGCUCCUACCGAUUGAACGGUCCGGCGAGAACUCCGGAUGGUCGGCACGCAGGGGUCAAACCCUGUGUCCGUGCCAGAAGCUGUUCGAACCUUACCGUUUAGAGGAAGGAGAAGUCGUAACAAGGUA